rnacentral:rRNA from 1 species
UACAGAGGGUGCGAGCGUUGUCCGGAAUUACUGGGCGUCAAGGGCGCGUAGGCGGUUCGGUAAGUAGGAGGUGAAAUUUCGGGGCUCACCCCUGAAACUGCCUUCUAAACUGCCGAACUGGAGCACGGUAGAGGCAGAUGGAAUUCCCGGUGUAGCGGUGGAAUGCGUAGAGAUCGGGAAGAACACCAGUGGCGAAGGCGGCUUUCUGGUCUGUAACCGACGCUGAGGCGCGAAAGCGUGGGGAUCAAACAGG